CGAGUUGCAACAUCACAAGAAAGCAACAUAAGCAAUGAUAAAUUGAGAAAAAGGACGUGCGAGUCUAUUCUCACCGUGCAACAGCUGGGAAGCAGUACACUAGGCGGCAACAUGAACAAAACUAUGGGUGGAGAGAUUCCAGUCGUGCAUCGGGGCGGCGUAGACGAGGGACUCCUGAUGGUGUCGGCGCCCACCAUCGAUGCACUUGACCCAAAACAGUGGCUACAUGGCGUGGUCAUCAUGAGGCUAAUGCGGGGAGGAAUGGUUGUGAUGCCAAAGUUAUUGCCAUGGGGCCCACUGGUGACACGUGGUAUGGCUGAGCACGGGCAUGAGCGGUUUGGCAAAUGUGGCGCAUGCAGUAUGGCUGAGCACGGGCGGUGCAUGGACACAGUUGUGGUGGUGCAAAGCUUUUCCCACCCUGGUCUAGUGCGCCACAACGGCGUGUAG
rnacentral:lncRNA from 1 species